AUGAGAUUGAGGGCAUGGGUGUUUUCCACAUCAAGCUGCCAGACCUCCCCCGCCCUCACCCUCGCUCCUGGUGACCGUCACAAUCCGGGAGGGGUGGCAUCUCCGGAGAUGCUCGAAGCCGAGCUCAACCACCUCUACCACUGCUCAUGGGACUGGCAGGUCACCAUGAUGGACGGAAACCAGUUCUCGGUCAUCUUCCCCGACGCCGUCAGCCACGGGUAUGGCACCCGCAAUGGUAACAUCACCCUAGCUCUCAACAAGCUUGUGGUGGACAUCUCGGUGCCUAUCUGUGACCCCUUGGCAGUCGCCGUCCUGGACACGGCAUGGAUCCUCAUCGGUGGCCUCCUGGACAUUGCUCGCUCAGAGAGGAUCAUUCGAAGCAUGUCCCGCAUCCUCGACAAGGUGUUCGUGGUGGACGAGCUCUCUCUUCGAAAGGAGGAGGAGGUGCGGGUCAAGGUGAAGUCCCUCGACUCGUCAAGCUUCAUGCCAAGGUCUGGGUGUUAUUCAAAGACCAGGGCUUUGACCUCAGGAUCUCCCCCGAGCCAUCCAACCACAUCGGCCGACCUCGCAUCCCCGACGAUGGCUUCUUGGGCGGUGGUCCCGACGAGCCGGGUCACUGUCGCGAUGGGAACCCCCGCCACGGCCACAACUCCGGUUCCGAGGAGGAUGACGACGAGUACGAGGACAACCCUCCCCACCGGCAGCCUACCGCGUCGGCCCCCAGGGGAGGCGCCGGGGGCGGCCGCUCUCGUGCCUCGGCUCCGGUGCCGCCUAUCGACGGCAGUGACGCCUCCGAUGCUAGCCUCCAGGUCUUCCCGGCAUCGUCCCCUGUCACACCCUAGUUAG
rnacentral:rRNA from 1 species